GAUGAACGCUAGCGGCAGGCUUAACACAUGCAAGUCGAGGGGCAGCAUAUUUUGUAGUAAUACAAGAUGAUGGCGACCGGCGCACGGGUGCGUAACGCGUAUGCAACCUACCAUAUACAGGGGGAUAAACUUUCGAAAGGGAGCCUAAUACCCCAUAGUAUUAUUUUAAGGCAUCUUGCAAUAAUUAAAGAUUAAUUGGUAUAUGAUGGGCAUGCGUGUCAUUAGCUAGUUGGUAAGGUAACGGCUUACCAAGGCGACGAUGACUAGGGGUUCUGAGAGGAAGAUCCCCCAAACUGGUACUGAGAAACGGACCAGACUCGUACGGGAGGCAGCAGUGAGGAAUAUUGGUCAAUGGGCGAGAGCCUGAACCAGCCAUGCCGCGUGCAGGAAGACGGCCCUAUGGGUUGUAAACUGCUUUUAUGUGAGGAUAAACCUAUUCUUGCGAGAGUAGCUGAAGGUAUCACAUGAAUAAGGAUCGGCUAACUCCGUGCCAGCCGCCGCGGUAA
rnacentral:rRNA from 1 species